rnacentral:rRNA from 1 species
CGCCAUGCCGCGUGAGUGAAGAAGGCCUCGGGUUGUAAAGCUCUUCGGCGGGGAAGAAAUUGCACUCUCUAAUACAGGGUGUAGAUGACGGUACCCGCAUAAGAAGCACCGGCUAACUACGUGCCAGCAGCCGCGGUAAUACGUAGGGUGCGAGCGUUAAUCGGAAUUACUGGGCGUAAAGCGUGCGCAGGCGGUUGUGUAAGUCAGAUGUGAAAAUCCCCGGGGCUCAACCUGGGGAACUGCAUUUGAGACUGCACGGCUAGAGUGUGACAGAGGGGGGGUAGAAUUCCACGUGUAGCAGUGAAAUGCGUAGAGAUGUGGAGGAAUACCGAUGGCGAAGGCAGCCCCCUGGGUUACUACUGACGCUCAUGCACGAAAGCGUGGGGAGCAAACAGGAUUAGAUACCCUGGUAGUCCACGCCCUAAACGAUGUCAACUGGAUGUUGGAGGGGUUAAACCCUUUAGUGUCGUAGCUAACGCGUGAAGUUGACCGCCUGGGGAGUACGGCCGCAAGGCUAAAACUCAAAGGAAUUGACGGGGA